GACGAACGCUGGCGGCGUGCUUAACACAUGCAAGUCGUACGGUAAGGCCCUUUCGGGGGUACACGAGUGGCGAACGGGUGAGUAACACGUGAGUAACCUGCCCACAACUUUGGGAUAACGCUAGGAAACUGGUGCUAAUACUGGAUAUGUGCCCCUGCUGCAUGGUGGGGGUUGGAAAGCUCCGGCGGUUGUGGAUGGACUCGCGGCCUAUCAGCUUGUUGGUGGGGUAGUGGCCUACCAAGGCGGCGACGGGUAGCCGGCCUGAGAGGGUGACCGGCCACAUUGGGACUGAGAUACGGCCCAGACUCCUACGGGAGGCAGCAGUGGGGAAUAUUGCACAAUGGGUGCAAGCCUGAUGCAGCAACGCCGCGUGCGGGAUGACGGCCUUCGGGUUGUAAACCGCUUUCAGCAGGGACGAAGCUUUUUGUGACGGUACCUGCAGAAGAAGCACCGGCUAACUACGUG
rnacentral:rRNA from 1 species